UCUCCCUUAGCUCAGUGGUAGAGCGCGACACUAGUAUCUUUCUUUGAUUCUGGCAUGUCGAGGUCAGUCGUUCAAAUCGGCUAGGGAGAA